ensembl:lncRNA
CUCAAAUGAGCGGACCGUCGACAAUAGGAGUCGGGGGAUUACUUUUCACAAGUACUUGUCGGUCAUCGGAUUUGUCAUCAAUAUCGACACGUUGAUGCUGAUGAUUCCUGAACUGCUCCAGGUUUAGCGGUAUGUGCUCACCUACAGGUUCAGCCAGGAUCACUUGGAGCUCCUAUUUAACUCAAUCAGAGCGUCAGGCGGAUGUAAUAAUAAGCCCACGGCACGCCAGUUCCAGGCCUUCUUCCGUCGUCUGAUGGUUCUGUGUUGUGUCUCACCUCGUGAGACAGGCAAUGUGGCAGCCCAAGAUAAACUGUGUCCCUGUCUGCUGUGGAGAUGUCCUCUGCUGAAACUGCUGAAGAGCACCAAUCUCCAGAUGACAAUAUACAGAGACACCAUAGACAACUUUGUGGAGUGGAGUACACACAAUAAUCUCCACCUCAACACCUUCAAAGACAAAGGAGAUAGUUGUAGAUUACAGGAGGGGGAGGAGGAGGACUCAAUCAGCAUCGGGGGCACUGUGGUGGAGAUGGUCGCCAACCACAGGUACCUUGGUGUGCAGCUCGACAGUGAGCUUGACUGGAAAAGUAAUAAG